rnacentral:rRNA from 1 species
AGAGUUUGAUCCUGGCUCAGGACGAACGCUGGCGGCGCGCCUAACACAUGCAAGUCGAACGGAGCUGAGAGGAGCUUGCUUUUCUUAGCUUAGUGGCGAACGGGUGAGUAACGCGUGAGUAACCUGCCCUGGAGUGGGGGACAACAGUUGGAAACGACUGCUAAUACCGCAUAAGCCCACGGUACCGCAUGGUACUGAGGGAAAAGGAUUUAUUCGCUUCAGGAUGGACUCGCGUCCAAUUAGCUAGUUGGUGAGGUAACGGCCCACCAAGGCGACGAUUGGUAGCCGGACUGAGAGGUUGAACGGCCACAUUGGGACUGAGACACGGCCCAGACUCCUACGGGAGGCAGCAGUGGGGGAUAUUGCACAAUGGGGGAAACCCUGAUGCAGCGACGCCGCGUGGAGGAAGAAGGUUUUCGGAUUGUAAACUCCUGUCGUUAGGGACGAUAAUGACGGUACCUAACAAGAAAGCACCGGCUAACUACGUGCCAGCAGCCGCGGUAAAACGUAGGGUGCAAGCGUUGUCCGGAAUUACUGGGUGUAAAGGGAGCGCAGGCGGGAAGGCAAGUUGGAAGUGAAAACCAUGGGCUCAACCCAUGAACUGCUUUCAAAACUGUUUUUCUUGAGUAGUGCAGAGGUAGGCGGAAUUCCCGGUGUAGCGGUGGAAUGCGUAGAUAUCGGGAGGAACACCAGUGGCGAAGGCGGCCUACUGGGCACCAACUGACGCUGAGGCUCGAAAGUGUGGGUAGCAAACAGGAUUAGAUACCCUGGUAGUCCACACCGUAAACGAUGAUUACUAGGUGUUGGAGGAUUGACCCCUUCAGUGCCGCAGUUAACACAAUAAGUAAUCCACCUGGGGAGUACGACCGCAAGGUUGAAACUCAAAGGAAUUGACGGGGGCCCGCACAAGCAGUGGAGUAUGUGGUUUAAUUCGAAGCAACGC